rnacentral:rRNA from 1 species
UACAUGCAAGUCAACUGAAGCACCGGUAGUAAUACUGGUGUGGAGGUGGCGCACGGGUGAGUAACACGUAGGUAAUCUGCCUUCAGGUCUGACAUAACCCCGAGAAAUCGGGGCUAAUAGCAGAUGAUGCAGCGGCUUGACAUCAAGACAGUUGUUAAAGCUUCGGCGCCUGAAGAUGAGCCUGCGUCUGAUUAGCUAGUUGGCGGAGUAAUGGCCCACCAAGGCUACGAUCAGUAACUGGUCUGAGAGGAUGAUCAGUCACACUGGAACUGAGACACGGUCCAGACUCCUACGGGAGGCAGCAGUAAGGAAUAUUGCUCAAUGGGAGAAAUCCUGAAGCAGCAACGCCGCGUGAGGGAUGAAGGGCUUUUGCUCGUAAACCUCUGUAGUGAGGGAAAAAAUUUCCACUCUGUGGAAUAUGAUGGUACCUCAAAAGUAAGCCCCGGCUAACUACGUG